CGGCAGCCACGUCUGGCAACCACUGUUUUUGAUGGAGUGCUGAAGACGGGCGGGAAGACUUGUGAAGCCUCGUACUUGCUAUGUAUUUACUCUAAAUUGUUUCCUGAGUAUGUGCAUUUUUUUUCUUUCCAAAGCCAUCAGAGCAGCUUUGGAAAACUGUGUGAAGGCAACUCCUGAGCACCUACAUAUGUGGGGGGGGGGGGGAGGAUGAGAGAGAGGGAGAGAGAGAGAGAGAGAGAGAGAGAGAGAGAGAGAUUUAAGAUUUCUGCAAGAUUCUCCAGGAAAACUCUCCUGUGUCUCUCCAGCAGUGGCUCUCACACUUACAUCUCAACCUUGCUUCAGGUGCUGUUGAAAACACAGACUGUUGGAUGUUGCUCUGAGAAUUUCUGCUUCAGUUAAGUCUGGGUUGGGACGCUAGAAUUUUGGGCCAUCUACGACACCUUCCCAACUAGGAUGCUCAUACUCCUGGCCCAGAGACCCUACUGCUGCCUUUUUAAGACAGGGCUGCUCUCCCAGCCUUAUCCAGCUGAACAGAGAUUUACAUCAACGGUUCAGGUGAUGUUUUGAGAACGAGCAUCUUAAAUCUCCAGGAUUUUUUUUUCCUGAGCUGAGCAGAAUUUCCAGGAGUGCACAAAAAGAUGAAAGAACUGACCCAACCUUUGUCUGAAACUGGAGCAGCCACGUACAGUCUGAGACCCACAGGGAUACACUUGGGGCAGAGGGGUACGAGCAUAAGGAGUAUGAGCAUAAGGCUUGGCCAUCCGGAGGUAUAUUACAGGUCACAGCGCUGUGAGUCUCUUUAGAAUAUGCCCUUUGCGGCUGGCAGCCCAUAUCAAGGUGCUGUUUUGAGUCUUGGCUGCUCUGCUUCAUAUCUAGCUCCUUGCUAAUUCACCUGGGGAAGCAGCAGAAGAUGGCCCAAGUGCUUAGGUCUCUGCCACUCAUGUGGGAGAAUCAGAUGGGGUUCUAGGCUCCUGACUUGGGCCUAGCCCAGCCCGGGUCAUUGGUGCCAUUUGGAGAGCAAACCAAUGCCUUUCUAAAAAUAAAGUAAAUCUUUAAAUAGAAUAUUUCUUUUGAGGAUCCCCUUAACUUUCAGGAAGCCAGCAUGCAGAAUUGUCAGAAAGUGUCCUUGGAUCAGUAGCUGUGGAGGGUCAGAGGGAGUGUUGGACAUACGCGACACCCUGCAAAGCAGAGCCAAGGAGCCCCAGCCCACCCCAGGGGCCCUCUGUGGGGGGGGAUGACCCUUCAGUGCUGUCCCAGGGAGGGCUACAAAGUUGCCUUUUAUGUCCCCAAGUGGGUAAGUUCUUGGAUGUGGGGCUCCCUGGAAGAGAAGACACGAUCUUCCCUGAGGCUCUCUCUGCUCCUGGGGCAGAUCCAGUGAUCCAUUACAGAAUCCAGUCCUGCCAAAGAGAUCUGAUGUCGGCGCAGAUUGAGGUCACAUGUCUCAAAGGCCUUCAUUCAACAUUAUAGGGCAUGUGAUGUUACCAUCUUGGAUCAUAAAGACCAGAGCCUAGCUUAGAGUGAGCUAUGGUGGUUGACUGGGGAACUACAACGAAUCUAUAGAGCAAAUCCCGGAUUCAUGGGAACGAGAAAUAAACUUUGUUCUUGUGUAAGUCA